GGCUGGGCCCUGCGCAACGGGAUCCCGUGAACCGAGUCAGGGCCGGAAGGCAGCAGCUCUCAGCGGGUCCUCCCGUGUGCCGCAGUCAGCCUGGCCGUC
rnacentral:SRP_RNA from 1 species